CCUGGCAUAUAGCAGGUCCUCAAUAAGUAUUUGUUGAAAAAAUAAAUGAAUCAACAAGUCUUAUUUGAGCACCUGUUAUGUGUAGG
ensembl:miRNA